CAGCAGCCGCGGUAAUACGAGGGGGGCAAGCGUUGUUCGGAAUUAUUGGGCGUAAAGGGUGCGUAGGCGGUUUGAUUAGUCAUCUGUGAAAUCUCUGGGCUCAACCCAGAGUCUGCAGGCGAAACUGUCGGGCUUGAGUAUGGGAGAGGUGAGUGGAAUUUCCGGUGUAGCGGUGAAAUGCGUAGAUAUCGGAAGGAACACCUGUGGUGAAAGCGGCUCACUGGACCAUAACUGACGCUGAUGCACGAAAGCUAGGGGAGCAAACAGGAUUAGAUACCCCCGUAGUCCCUGUCUCUUAUAC
rnacentral:rRNA from 1 species